rnacentral:rRNA from 1 species
AGUGAACGCUGGCGGUAGGCCUAACACAUGCAAGUCGAACGGCAGCACAGAGGAGCUUGCUCCUUGGGUGGCGAGUGGCGGACGGGUGAGGAAUACAUCGGAAUCUACUCUGUCGUGGGGGAUAACGUAGGGAAACUUACGCUAAUACCGCAUACGACCUACGGGUGAAAGCAGGGGACCUUCGGGCCUUGCGCGAUUGAAUGAGCCGAUGUCGGAUUAGCUAGUUGGCGGGGUAAAGGCCCACCAAGGCGACGAUCCGUAGCUGGUCUGAGAGGAUGAUCAGCCACACUGGAACUGAGACACGGUCCAGACUCCUACGGGAGGCAGCAGUGGGGAAUAUUGGACAAUGGGCGCAAGCCUGAUCCAGCCAUACCGCGUGGGUGAAGAAGGCCUUCGGGUUGUAAAGCCCUUAUGUUGGGAAAGAAGUCCAGCUGGCUAAUACCCGGUUGGGAUGACGGUACCCAAAGAAUAAGCACCGGCUAACUUCGUGCCAGCCGCCGCAGUAA